rnacentral:rRNA from 1 species
GACGAACGCUGGCGGCGUGCUUAACACAUGCAAGUCGAACGGAAAGGCCCUGCUUGCAGGGUACUCGAGUGGCGAACGGGUGAGUAACACGUGGGUGAUCUGCCCUGCACUUCGGGAUAAGCCUGGGAAACUGGGUCUAAUACCGGAUAGGAGCCAUUUUUAGUGUGAUGGUUGGAAAGUUUUUUCGGUGUAGGAUGAGCUCGCGGCCUAUCAGCUUGUUGGUGGGGUAAUGGCCUACCAAGGCGGCGACGGGUAGCCGGCCUGAGAGGGUGGACGGCCACAUUGGGACUGAGAUGAGGCCCAGACUCCUACGGGAGGCAGCAGGGGGGAAUAUUGCACAAGGGGCGCAAGCCUGGUGCAGCGACGCCGCGUGGGGGAAGACGGCCUUCGGGUUGUAAACUCCUUGCGCUAGGGACGAAGCUUUUUGUGACGGUACCUAGAUAAGAAGCACCGGCUAACUACGUG